GAUGAACGCUGGCGGCGUGCCUAAUACAUGCAAGUCGAGCGAACAGAUGAGUAGCUUGCUCCUCUGACGUUAGCGUCGGACGGGUGAGUAACACGUGGAUAACCUACCUAUAAGACUGGGAUAACUUCGGGAAACCGGAGCUAAUACCGGAUAAUAUAUUGAACCGCAUGGUUCAAUAGUGAAAGACGGUUUUGCUGUCACUUAUAGAUGGAUCCGCGCCGCAUUAGCUAGUUGGUAAGGUAACGGCUUACCAAGGCAACGAUGCGUAGCCGACCUGAGAGGGUGAUCGGCCACACUGGAACUGAGACACGGUCCAGACUCCUACGGGAGGCAGCAGUAGGGAAUCUUCCGCAAUGGGCGAAAGCCUGACGGAGCAACGCCGCGUGAGUGAUGAAGGUCUUCGGAUCGUAAAACUCUGUUAUUAGGGAAGAACAAAUGUGUAAGUAACUAUGCACGUCUUGACGGUACCUAAUCAGAAAGCCACGGCUAACUACGUG
rnacentral:rRNA from 1 species